UGACAACUUCCUAGUCGCUGCCGGCUUACGGCAGGACGAGGACAGAGAUUCAGCCAGGAGCAAACUAAGGAAGUCUUGGAUUGGAGACAUGAGCUCGUCCAGAUUUGCGGAUACUCUAUGGAAGGAGUACAGUAAGUCAGGUGCCGAAAAGAGGGCCGACACUCUG